rnacentral:lncRNA from 1 species
GCUAGCCUGUUUGGCUAGCUAUUGGAAAAGUGAUGAUUUCACCAUAAUUGAUUUUGCUUAAAAAUUAUAGGACGUUCGGAAAAGUUUAGUCGGAAAAUAAUUUUUCUAAAAUAAUUUUGUAAAACUGUUAGAAAAAAUAAUUUUAUUGUUUGAAGAUAAUAAAAUUUUUACUGAAUUUUAUUUUAAAUUUAAAUUUUAUUAUAAAAUUUAAAAUUUAAAAUAUGAAUCAGAAUUUAAAUUUUGAUAUUUAAACUUAAAUUUAAAAUUAAAAAUUCACAAUUUUGAAAAUUUAAAUUUAUAAUUUAAAAGUAAAAUUUCAAAUUAAAUUUAAAUUUUGAGUUCAAAAUCAGAUCAGAUUUUAAGAAGCAUGGUUUGGCUGCUUCUGAUUUUGGGGGG